rnacentral:lncRNA from 1 species
AUUUCGUUCACAGAUGAUUGGAUCACAAGGAGCCACAUCUGGAUUGGAUAGAUGGAGAGGAGUCUGCCACACGAGGAGGUCCUGGACUGUGAAGUGACUGGAUGGGACUUUGGGUUAUUUCCUUCCCAUGGGGAAGGAAAAAGUUUGUUAUUGAUGUGGGAGGACAAGUGAAAUGGAUAUUUGGUGACUAAAGUGUUAGGCAGUGGCCAAGAAUGAACCUAACAGGUAGCAGAUCUACGCAGGUCUGGGUUUUUCCAACUGAAAACACUGGAAAAUUUAAACUCGCUCAGUUAUCGGAAAGUCAAUCGCUGGAAUGCCCGGGGCAUCUGGAAAGAAGAGUGCUCGCCUGCAAGAUUCGUUUCGAGUCCGGCUUGGCUCUCGGUGCUGCCUGGAACACACAUGGAGAAGGCGCCGGUGGUGACCGACUUUCCGUGUGAAAUGGCUUUACUUGUGUCCCACCCAGCAUAUAUCUUACGUGGAAGCCAGCUCUGAAGAGACAAAGCAGAGGCACGGUGUUGGCUGCUCUGGAAGACUCUAACUACCCCCAAUACAAGAAUAAAAAAAUAGCAAGAAACUGGGGAUCACGCAG